rnacentral:tRNA from 1 species
CGGGAUGUAGCGCAGUCCGGUAGCGCACCUGCUUUGGGAGCAGGGGGCCCCAGGUUCAAAUCCUGGUAUCCCGA